AUUGGCCCGUCGCUGACAAAUAUAUCAAGGAUUAACAUCCCAGAUCUUAUCAAACGUGGCCAUAUUGUGAAAAAUCGUGUUUCAUCCACUGGAAAGUUACUUGAGCAAGCCGGUAAUAUCAGGACUCAUUCGGUGGCUAGGUCUACGUCUUGGGCACCAGAUCUUCUACUGGAGACUAUGUUAGUGGCUUUUGCCUACGCCACCGUUGGUUUCGUCCUAUCCUAGGAGAGGCUACUUAAUGACCAUUCUACAUAUUCAUCAUUUGUUAAAGAUGAAUUCUUUGUUAUAUAUAUUUACUAUUAAUGUUUUAAAUUGACAAAAGAACAUUGCAAAGAAAAACUUUUACAAAUUUUACAGUUUUAUUUUGUUUUGUUAUUUUAUUAGCGGUUUCACUUUACUUCACACAGAAAUAAUCUGAAUAAUGGUUUGUGUUUUUUUGGUAUUAAAAAGAAAAUAGUACCCAAAAAUUGUUUUAUCAGUUCAUUAGAAAAUAUAUUUACGGGUAUUCAACCUUUUUGUUAAUUAUAUAGCUAAUUCAGUAAUUAAUUUGCUGAACAGUAUUUGUGUACAUUUUACAUCAAAUAGUGCAACAAUUUUGUUUUAAUCUUUUCUAGUUUUCCUGAUGAUUUAAAUGUUUGUCAGCACCUCUUUCAUACAUUUUAAAACUAUAAAUUUCUCUUGCUGAUAGUACAUUCGGAAUUAGAAAGGAACAACGUCUCUACAACAAGCAAGUGUCUUCAAUGCAAAUUUAAAUUACUUCAUUAGGUAGGUAAAAGACCAGAGCUGGGUGAAGUCAAAUGGCUAAAGCUAAUAUGUUAAUAUUAUGUAAAAAAACGAGGAUUUUUUUCGUCAGAGAAAACAUAAUCACAACUCACAACAAAAAAGUAUUUUAAAAAGAUACAUUUUAAUCUUCCAAAUAUAUUUUGGCUUCUACUGUCUUAAUUAAUGAACUUAAAAAAUAAUAUGCACAAUGUCCAAUAUAGAAUUUGUUUUUGAGAGAUUGUAAACUUUGUAUUGCAGUAUUUCUUUUUUAAAAAUGUUUUUUAAAGAUAUUUUAAGUAAUGUUAAUAAAUAAGUUAAUACAUUUUGCUGUUGGGAAUAUUUUAUUUUUAUUAAACAUUAAUAAUU